AACGAACGCUGGCGGCAUGCCUAACACAUGCAAGUCGAACGAGACCUUCGGGUCUAGUGGCGCACGGGUGCGUAACGCGUGGGAACCUGCCCUUAGGUUCGGAAUAACUCCCCGAAAGGGGUGCUAAUACCGGAUAAUGUCUUCGGACCAAAGAUUUAUCGCCUUUGGAUGGGCCCGCGUUGGAUUAGCUAGUUGGUAGGUUAAAAGCCUACCAAGGCGACGAUCCAUAGCUGGUCUGAGAGGAUGAUCAGCCACACUGGGACUGAGACACGGCCCAGACUCCUACGGGAGGCAGCAGUGGGGAAUAUUGGACAAUGGGCGAAAGCCUGAUCCAGCAAUGCCGCGUGAGUGAUGAAGGCCUUAGGGUUGUAAAGCUCUUUUACCCGGGAUGAUAAUGACAGUACCGGGAGAAUAAGCGCCGGCUAACUCCGUG
rnacentral:rRNA from 1 species